rnacentral:rRNA from 1 species
CCUACGGGAGGCAGCAGUGAGGAAUAUUGGUCAAUGGACGAGAGUCUGAACCAGCCAAGUAGCGUGAAGGAUGACUGCCCUAUGGGUUGUAAACUUCUUUUAUAUGGGAAUAAAAUGUUCCACGUGUGGGGUUUUGUAUGUACCAUAUGAAUAAGGAUCGGCUAACUCCGUGCCAGCAGCCGCGGUAAUACGGAGGAUCCGAGCGUUAUCCGGAUUUAUUGGGUUUAAAGGGUGCGUAGGUGGAUAUUUAAGUCAGUGGUGAAAGUUUGAGGCUCAACCGUAAAAGUGCAGUUGAAACUGGCAGUCUUGAGUACAGUAGAGGUGUGCGGAAUGCGUGGUGUAGCGGUGAAAUGCUUAGAUAUCACGAAGAACUCCGAUUGCGAAGGCAGCUCACUGGACUGCAACUGACACUGAGGCUCGAAAGUGUGGGUAUCAAACAGGAUUAGAUACCCGGGUAGUC